rnacentral:rRNA from 1 species
AGCAGCCGCGGUAAUUCCAGCUCCAAUAGCGUAUAUUAAAGUUGUUGCAGUUAAAAAGCUCGUAGUUGAAUUUCGGGGUUAGUAGGUUGGUCAUGCCUCCGGUAUGUACUGGUCUCACUGAUUCCUCCUUCCUUAUGAACCGUAAUGCCAUUAAUUUGGUGUUGCGGGGAAUUUGGACUGUUACUUUGAAAAAAUUAGAGUGUUUAAAGCAAGCUAACGCUUGAAUACAUUAGCAUGGAAUAAUGAAAUAGGACGUUCGAUCUUAUUUUGUUGGUUUCUAGGAUUGACGUAAUGAUUAAUAGGGAUAGUUGGGGGCACUAGUAUUCAAUUGUCAGAGGUGAAAAUUCUUGGAUUUAUUGAAGACUAACUACUGCGAAAGCAAUUUGCCAAGGAUGUUUUCAUUUAAUCAAAGAACGAAAGUUAGGGGAAUCGAAAGACGAUCAGAUACCGUCGUAGUCUUAACCAUAAACUAUGCCGACUAGGGAUCGGAUGAUGUUAAUUUUUAAUGAUCUAUUCGGC